CGCGGGGUGGAGCAGCUUGGUAGCUCGUCGGGCUCAUAACCCGAAGGUCGUCGGUUCAA
rnacentral:tRNA from 1 species